rnacentral:rRNA from 1 species
CAGUAGCCACGGUAAUACGGAGGGGGCUAGCGUUGUUCGGAAUUACUGGGCGUAAAGCGCACGUAGGCGGCUUGGUAAGUUAGGGGUGAAAGCCUGGAGCUCAACUCCAGAAUUGCCUUUAAGACUGCAUCGCUUGAACGUCGGAGAGGUGAGUGGAAUUCCGAGUGUAGAGGUGAAAUUCGUAGAUAUUCGGAAGAACACCAGUGGCGAAGGCGGCUCACUGGACAAUAACUGACGCUGAUGCACGAAAGCUAGGGGAGCAAACAGGAUUAGAUACCCCCGUAGUCCCUGUCUCUUAUAC